rnacentral:rRNA from 1 species
UACGGAGGGUGCAAGCGUUAUCCGGAUUCACUGGGUUUAAAGGGUGCGUAGGAGGGCAGAUAAGUCAGUGGUGAAAUCUUCGAGCUUAACUCGGAAACUGCCGUUGAUACUAUUUGUCUUGAAUACCGUGGAGGUGAGCGGAAUAUGUCAUGUAGCGGUGAAAUGCUUAGAUAUGACAUAGAACACCAAUUGCGAAGGCAGCUCACUACACGAGCAUUGACUCUGAGGCACGAAAGCGUGGGGAUCAAACAGG